rnacentral:rRNA from 1 species
UCCGGUGAUAAUUAUGGGGAGGAUCCACCUGUAUCCAUGCCGAACACAGUAGUUAAGCUCCCUGAUGCAGACGAUAGUGCGCUGGAAGCGGCUCGCGAAAAUAUGUCAUUGCCGGGU